AUAACAAUACAGGACUCUUUCGAGGCCCCUUUAAUUGGAAUGAGUACACUUUAAAUAAUUUAGCGAGGAUCUAUUGGAGGGCAAGUCUGGUGCAGAGCACCUCAGGCAGCAAAUGUACUAUUUAGCAUCAA